CAACCAUGUCAUCUCUGUGCAGAAAUACCUGUUUAUUUUUCAUCAGAACCAUUCCGGAUGCUCACCUGGUACAGAUUUUAAGACUUCUGGGUUCUGCGAUGCGCUGCAACAAGUCCGACAACCACUGAGCACAAACUUAGGUUGCAACAAGUGUCAAGACCAUCUGGAUCCAAGUCCCCAGACCUCCAAGAACACACUGUGAUUGAGCACUGAAGACGAUGGGGAACACAUCUGAAGUCACUUACUUCAUUUUGGCAGCCUAUGGGGAUCUUGGAAAAAUGAAAUAUUUUUAUUUUUGCUGUAUACUUCUUUUGUAUAUCACAAUUCUUUUUGCAAACAUUAUUCUUAUCUCUUUGAUAUAUGUAGAUAGGAGCCUACAUGAGCCCAUGUACGUGUUUCUGUGUAGUUUAUUUAUGAAUGAAUUGCAUGGAAGCACUACCUUCUUUUCUGUGCUGUUACUACAUAUUUUAGCAGACACUCAUGAAAUUGCCAGAGCUUACUGUAACGUGCAGAGUUUUUUCUUGCACGCAUAUGGGACAGCAGAAAUGUAUAAUUUAGCUGUUAUGGCUUAUGACAGGUAUUUGUCCAUCUGCCAUCCAUUACAUUACAGCAGCAGGAUGAAUUCUUGCAAAAUGUACUCACUAAUUGUGUUCACAUGGUCUUUUUCAUUCUUCAAAUUUGUAAUUCCUAUGUCCUUACAAUUACAGUUACCAUUGUGUGGGAAUAUCAUAGACAAUCUGUAUUGUGCCAACUAUGCUUUGGUCAGACUUUCUUGCCAAAACAUAUCUCUAAAUAACAUUUUAGGAGUUUUAAGUUUAGUUUUGAGUGUUGCUGUCCCUUUGAUCCCCAUUUUAUUUUCCUAUGUAAACAUUGUAAGAAUCUGUUAUAAAUCACCCAAAGAGGCUCAGGUCAAAGCUUUAAACACUUGCACUCCCCAAGUAAUAUCACUCCUGUACUUCUCGGUUUCUGCUUUCUUUGAAAUGGCAGAAACCCAGUUUGAAUUGACAUAUGUUCUCCAACUUAUUCGUAACGUUUUUGUGGUGUGCAUAUUUGCUUGUCCUCAAAUUCUUAAUCCAGUCAUGUAUGGAGUCAGGCUGACAAAAAUAAGGAAAGCUUUUAAAAAAAGGUUCUUUCCUAACAGCACUGAGUAAUUGAAACAAAAUAAAGGUUU